UCAGGGGAUUGGAUGAUUAUCUCUCUUCCAAAAGAGCACACAUGUGUUACAGUUGGAAGCCCUGUCUCUUCCAGGUUGGUGACUGCAUCACAAUCUUCAGCUUCUGCAUGGGCAAAGGAACAGCAGUUCAAGAUCAUUGCUUGCAGAUUUAUUGCCUACUCUGACUUUCCCUUUGGACCUUCUGCCGCCGGUCCCCCACAGUUCUAUCAUCUACCACGCUCUCAAAUGCUGCCGUGGAUCACACACUGAGGAUCGUUGCCACAAAUCAGUUAAUCGCUUCACUUAGUGGGUUUCUUUCCCAGGAGAGGGGAUUGUGUGUUUCUUCUAUGUGUGUUUCUUCUCGCAGUCUGUGAUGGGUGGCUUCCACCUCUGCACUGGACUGAGGCACUUCCAUUCUGUCCCACACAGCUGUCUCUAACAUGGUUAGCAUUUUAGUAAAGGAAACAGCAUCCACACAAGUGUUGAGUAAUCCUGUCUCUAAGAAAUGGAGAGAGCAGAUACAGACAGCUUGCUCACUAGAGGUGAAACAGUGGUGUCCAACAGAAUCUGUUUCUCCCCUUUGUCAACGCUUCCCCGAGAGACCUCAGGUGCUGUUUCUCUCUCCUUAAGUGUCCUGCACCAGCAUGGCAAACUUGGGAAGAUGUAAGAGAACUAGGUCUGUAGAUGAUCUAAACCCGGCACCUGCUCACAACACAGCCCAGUAGAUAUGUGUUGGUUUUGUGCUUUUCUCUCUAUCUCUGUCUUUAUCUCUGUCUCUGCCUGUGUCUGUCUGUCUGUCUCUCUUUCUCUCUCUCUUUCUUUCUCUCUCUCCUGCCCUCCUUCUCUCCUGUAUCUAUCUAUAUAAAUGGAUUUUCCUGUGUUGUCCAAGUUGGCCUUGAAUUUAGGAUCAGGCUUCUACCUCAGUCUUCCCAGGCAUUUGGGUCACAGGUAC
rnacentral:lncRNA from 1 species